AUAUAAUCAUUCUCAGGAGCAGCUAUAUAUUUUCAUUUAUGAAGACUUAAUUUAUACUCACUUAAAUAGCCAGGUAUAUUAUGCAAUAUACCAGUAUAAAAUAUUAUUUGGAAAAUAUUUGAGGUUUUUAGUGUCCUUUUUAAAACACCUGCCGCCCAUGCCAGAGACACCGGUUUGAAUCCCGCUUUGAGCGGAUCGAGUAGAACCGGAGGGGUUACAUUGGUGCCGUGACCCAGAUGGGAAUUUAGGGGGGCACCAUCUCUGCAGUGGCAAAAGUAGCAGAAAACAGACUCAGGACAUCCACGCGGUGCCCGCGGUCUAGGAGUGUGUGUCCGUGAAAAUAAGCAGAGUGAACGUCGAUCUCGUUGCCCAUGCCAAAGAGAUGCAAAGCAACUGUGUUGUUUUGGCAAAACUCAAUGCCUGGAUCCACACCAUCUGGAUCAGAGCAGAAGGUCUGGACGUUCUCUUUCAGGUACCAGCUGAUGUUCUCAUCCACCACACUAAACAUAAGGAUUAAAUCCUGUUCUACAUCAGCACGUUGCACUUGAUGGUGGUCUGAAGUGGACACAGCAUGCAGGGUUCCUGAGGCCGGCAUUUGGAUUUGGCAAUCAAAGGAUAAGGUGAGAAGGGCUCCAAUAAGCCCGGAGGAAAUGUCUUGUGAGGCGCUGACAUGGGAGUGGUAGGCCCAGGUCAGGCAGUUGGCAUCACCCUUUUGAGGAGCAUAAUCUGGCUUUACAGUCCAGGUAUAUGUG